rnacentral:rRNA from 1 species
GACGAACGCUGGCGGCGUGCUUAAUACAUGCAAGUCGAACGGAAAGGCCCUGCCUUUGUUGGCUGCUCGAGUGGCGAACGGGUGAGUAACACGUGAGUAACCUGCCCUGGACUUGGGGAUAACUUCAGGAAACUGGGGCUAAUACCGCAUAGGAGCUCCUGCUGCAUGGUGUGGGUUGGAAAGUUGCGGUGGUUGGGGAUGGACGUGCGGCUAAUCAGCUUGUAGGUGGGGUAGUGGAUUACAAAGGCGUGGACGGGUAGCCAGCCUGAGAGGGUGACAGGGCACAGAGGGCCUCGGGAAGGGGCAGGAGUGAAACGGGGGGAAGGGGCGGAAGUUAGAGCGAGAAGGGCGGAGGGCGGGUAGAGCGAUGUCGGGUGGGGAAGGUCGGUCUUCGGGGUGGAACCCGCGUUAGCGUGGGACGAAGAGUGAGUGACGGUAAUGGGUAAGAAAGCAACGGCUAACUACGUG